rnacentral:lncRNA from 1 species
GAAAGUUCUUUCAUACUGAUUUUCAGAUCUGUGGCUGAUACUGACCAUGUGAAUCUGCAUAUUUCACAGUUCUGGAGCGGGCAGGCACUCUUAUCUGGAAUUUAAGUGUAUAAUGAAGCAGUUCUACUCCAACCAGGACCAAGGUUCGAACAGUACUGUCCAGCAUGCUCUGAGCUUGAGAGUGUGGGAUCUCAAGAUGGAGAUCUUGCCAUGUUUCCCAGGCUGGUCUAGAACUCCAGGCCUCACGCAAUCCUCCCGCGUCCUUCCAAGGUGAUGGGAUUACAGGCUUGAGCCACUGGGCCCCGCGUUCUCAUUCUUCAGAACCCUACUGCAACAUCAUGCCCCCUGGGAAGUUUUCCCACCUGCUCUGUUGUUCUGCACUUAGUGUUCCCUUCUGUCUAUUGUAUUUUUAAUAUACUUCAACUCAUUUCUUCUUGCUGUAUAUUAAAAAUUCUUAUAUAAAAUAGUUCCUAUAUUAAAAUAUUUUUAUGAAUGGCUUCUUCAUAAGAUGGUGAGGGGAGGAUGUUAUUUCUAUGUAUUUAUGGAUGAUAACAUAGAGGUGAGGGAAAUGGGUAAAAACAGAGUCAAUAAGUUUUAGAGCAUGAGUUUGAAACUAGAUGUUCCAUCUCAAAGUCAGGCUCUGUCUACUCCACAGCAUGGCUUUUCAUAAGAUGCUAUGAUGCUUGGUUUCACGAAAUAUUACAAGUAUCGCUAUUGUUUUGGUUUGUUAAAACAAUGGUAAUGAUAAUUUUUGAGACAAAUUCUAAUGGCCUGCAUGUAUUAAGUAUUUAUAGUAUGCUAGGCAAUGUUCUGAAAGAGUUAGAUGUAUUAAUUCACUUAAUCCUCAUAACAACCCUAUAAGAGAAG